AUUUUGGACAAUGGGCGCAAGCCUGAUCCAGCAGUGCCGCGUGAGUGAAGAAGGCCUUCGGGUUGUAAAGCUCUUUUGUCAGGGAAGAAAAGGGUGUGGCUAAUAUCCAUGCCUCAUGACGGUACCUGAGGAAUAAGCACCGGCUAACUACGUGCCAGCAGCCGCGGUAAUACGUAGGGUGCAAGCGUUAAUCGGAAUUACUGGGCGUAAAGCGUGCGCAGGCGGUUUUGUAAGACUGUCGUGAAAUCCCCGGGCUCAACCUGGGAAUGGCGAUGGUGACUGCAAGGCUAGAGUUUGGCAGAGGGGGGUAGAAUUCCACGUGUAGCAGUGAAAUGCGUAGAUAUGUGGAGGAACACCGAUGGCGAAGGCAGCCCCCUGGGUCAAAACUGACGCUCAUGCACGAAAGCGUGGGGAGCAAAC
rnacentral:rRNA from 1 species